rnacentral:rRNA from 1 species
CUCCUACGGGAGGCAGCAGUGGGGAAUAUUGCACAAUGGGGGAAACCCUGAUGCAGCCAUGCCGCGUGUGUGAAGAAGGCCUUCGGGUUGUAAAGCACUUUCAGUAGGGAGGAAGGUAGUGUAGUUAACACCUGCAUUAUUUGACGUUACCUACAGAAGAAGCACCGGCUAACUCCGUGCCAGCAGCCGCGGUAAUACGGAGGGUGCGAGCGUUAAUCGGAAUUACUGGGCGUAAAGCGCAUGCAGGCGGCCUGUUAAGUCAGAUGUGAAAGCCCCGGGGCUUAACCUCGGAAUUGCAUUUGAAACUGGCAGGCUAGAGUCUUGUAGAGGGGGUAGAAUUUCAGGUGUAGCGGUGAAAUGCGUAGAGAUCUGAAGGAAUACCAGUGGCGAAGGCGGCCCCCUGGACAAAGACUGACGCUCAGAUGCGAAAGCGUGGGGAGCAAACAGGAUUAGAUACCCUGGUAG